GGGCCCGCACAAGCGGUGGAGCAUGUGGUUUAAUUCGAUGAUACGCGAGGAACCUUACCAGGACUUAAAUGUAAGUUGCAUGAUUCAGAAAUGAAUCUUUCUUCGGACUACUUACAAGGUGCUGCAUGGUUGUCGUCAGCUCGUGCCGUGAGGUGUCAGGUUAAGUCCUAUAACGAGCGCAACCCCUAUCGUUAGUUGCCAUCAAGUAAAGUUGGGAACUCUAGCGAAACUGCCGGUGUAAACCGAGAGGAAGGUGGGGAUGACGUCAAAUCAUCACGGCCCUUACGUUCUGGGCUACACACGUGCUACAAUGGUCGGUACAGAAAGCAGCCACUAUGCGAAUAGGAGCUAAAUCUUUAAAAACCGAUCUCAGUUCGGAUCGCAGUCUGCAACUCGACUGCGUGAAGCUGGAAUCGCUAGUAAUCGCGGAU
rnacentral:rRNA from 1 species